UUACCGUUGCUGUGCUGCACCAUCGCCUCUUCAUUCUGGCUCGAGCAAACCAUACAUGCUAUUGACUUCUUGUUGAGAUGACUUUGGGUAUGGUUGCAGAUUAAACUAACUAAUUCAGUUCUCAUUGUUUAUAAUAUAGCAACUGAUUCAACUGUGUGGUAUUCUCAUCACAUUCCCAAGGUUGAGUGAUAUGAUAUCACUUCCAACUUUUUAAAGAGGUGGUCUGUAUUUUUUUUACCCCUUCUGUUCAUGAGAUUAGAGUGAUUUUGAGUCUUUGACAACGCAGCUUGUAAUUUUACAUGCUUGAGGGUUAAACUAGUACUGCUUCUUCUUCAUCUGGAAGUGGACAUUGUACUGUUAAAAAAGAUUUUAAAGAGGGGGCAUUUUUUCAUUACGUUGCGAAAAAUGCAAUUUCUUGUAGUGAGGUCUUCCGCUGUUUUUCCUUCAGUUGGUGGGCUGAGGUUCUUCCACAAAUUUUCAAGUAAUUGCAAUCUUCCUCUUAGUUGUUAUCAGCGACGGGUUACUGACGAAGCUCUACGGGUCGACAAAGCUCUUUGCCGACGAUUUCUGCCUUUUGGUGACGAAUUUUGUUGUGUUGCCAAAACUGUUUUUUGUUGUAGUGUGUAAAGAAGAUGUUCUUGUUGUAAACCAAAUUUGAUUCCAAAGCACCCUCAAGUUUGAGUUAUGAUUUUCAAUCUUCUAAUCAAGUUCCAAGUUCAAGCUCUUGUAUGGUAUGUAUGGAUGACAUGAGAGCUUCAAGGCUUAUGGAAGAACAAGAAGGAUAAUAGCUUUGAUCUUUUCUAACU